GUACCAGCCUCGGCCUUUUGGCUAAGAUCAAGUGUAUUAUCUGUUCUUAUCAGUUUAAUAUCUGAUAUGUCCUUGAUGUGAGUAUGCUAUAUUAAGUGACAUUUUGGAGUAGGGAGGUGGGUUGGGAGCUUGCUCCAUCCCCUCCACGCAUCGGCCUGGUGUUGCAGUGUUUCCAGGGCGGGUGCUUUUCUA